UUUCGACCCUUCGUUGAGUUAUGAAGAGUGGGAGCAAAAGAUGAAGCAGGCCACCGUAAGAGCUGAGUUCGUUGAAGGUGGUUCUUUCCACACUUUUUAGCGGUUUUGUAAUCAGGCCCUUACAGAACAUAUGAUAAUCAAUCUACUCUCUUCCUGAUUAGAAUCGAAAGUGGGGUCCUAGUGUUAGAUGCAGUACAUAUGGACAAACCAAUUGCCUGAUUAGGAUGUAUUUUUAGCAGCAAUGUUCAUAUGCUUCUUGAUCAGAGAUAUAUAUUUAUUUUGGAAGAAGUCUAUGGUUACUCAUUAUUUUUGUUUGAUAUAUAUGCUAUUUCGACCCUUCAUUGAGUUAAGAGUAGGAACAGUAGUUAAGACUUGGUUCUCCACAAAUUGGUAUUUAUUUUGCCUAAUUGAUAUGUUUCUUGAGGCAGCCAUGUUCUGCUGCUUCUUGAUCUGAGAGAGAGGUAUUUAUUUUAAUAGAAGUCGAUGGCAUACUCAGUAUUCUGGGAUUGUCUAUCGCAGUGCUUUUGUUUUCAUAAUAAUAUAUACCUUAUUUCUAGGCCAUAAUAAAGACAUGUUGGACAAGUAUUUCCUGUGUCUCUCGUGUUAGCUGUAAUUGUCUGAAAUGGUGUAUUGAAGGGCUAAGAUAGUUUGGCAUGUUUAAAUUGGCUUUGGUCACUACAGUAUGAUUGUUCACCUGGAAUACAUGACAACCUUCACAUCUUUUGCUUGAUUUGAAUGACAACUCACAACUAUGAACUAUCCUUGGCAGCAGUUGAUAUAAAGGCACUAAAACGCUAGUUAUCUGAGGAGAAUGACUGAAUGGGCGACUAAAUUUUUUCAAUCUUUUCACAGUUUCUCAAUGGUUAUAGAAAAAUAGAUUUGGGCAACUGUUUAAACAGAUUUUACUUGAUUGUAAGGUGAGAAUGGGUGGUAUCGGAAAUAAACAGAUUUGGGCAACUGUAUUUCCAAUAAAAUCCUGAAAGGAAAGACAAAUAAGAAGAUGUCUGACUCUAAAAGAGUCACAAGGAAAUUGUUCAAGAAAGGCUAUUACGCUGAAAGAUGUCUUAACUUGUCUUGUGAAUUCUAUAAAUAUAGAACUGUGAUAUGAUGGAGACCGACGUUAGGGAAAGAGAGAGCAAGAGAAAAGAAGAGAGAUUUCAAAAAACAAAAACAAACCGACAGACAGAAAAUUGAAAAUUAAAAAUAGAAAAAGGGGACAGACACGAGUUUGAGUUCCACCUGACUCUAAAGGAACCUCCUAACGUCGGUCGAUUAAAUUCAAUAGUUAGAAUAGUUAAACUUUACAAUCCUGAUAGAAAGUUAUAAAUGAAUUGAAAAGCAGACAAACAAUUAUCAAACGUUCUGCGAGCAGAGCAGAUGUAUAUAAAAAUCUGGAAAAGGAACAAAUGCCACACAUAUUAGUGAAUUGCUGGUAAAUAAAUCUGCAAGUAGCAAUGAGUCUGCGUGUGUUAGGAUAACAUGAACUUCAAGAACUAAUAAUUGAUACGAUAGGAUAACAUGAAGAGAUGAAUGAAUAGAGUAGUUAUCGGAACCAGUACCUAAAGAUGUGAAGCGAUUGUUGUAACUCGGAAUUGCCACGAAACAACAGUAUUUGGCCUAUCUGUUCUUUACCAUGGUCCUGAUACAAUUGCUCGAAAUCUACCAAUUUUUUUUUCUUACUUGCUUAAAAGUUAUGUUAUCUUAGCUUUAUGUAUAUGUAAUGAGCUAACAUUUCUCUCCAUCAGAUUAGUUCAUAGUUCAUACAUAGAUUGGCUUUAUCAUACGCUCACUUGAAUCACUCUUAAUGGAUAGCCUAUAACCAGACACUUUGCCCUGCUUCUCAUAAAUUAUUAUGCUCUGGAUAAGCAGAUUGUGUAAUAACAUCACUAUCCUCCUUGUGAAGUUGUAAGGCACAUAAAUAUGGCAAUUGGAUUGAAUCGAAUGCAAAAUAAAGAUGUUUUAAGAGAGAUAUAUACUUAAUUAGACCUUUUUAUUGGCAGCACAACAACAACGUGGCCGUGGUCAGUUCCGUACCUGAGAUUUUUAUUGGCAGCACAACAACAACAACAACGACGACAUUGUUGGUUAGAAAAAUGAUGUCUCCCACUCUCCAGCGUUGAAGUGGUCAUGUAACAAGGUUACCCUGUGACCAUUGCCAAUUUCUAGUCAUAUAUGGCUUUGAAAAUUAGAACCAGAUCGAUCAAUUCCAGAAUCAUGCCGAUUCUGAUAAGAUGGGGCAGAUUGUAAUUUUAGGUCAUUAGUAAAACUAUAUAAAAACACAAGUAAAACCCUAGUUUUCUCUUCAAACACAAAAGAAAGAAUAUGGCCGUUCAACCACUACUACACAGUUUCAACUCUAGAGUAUGGGAAUGGGUGGUAUCGGAAAAAAUGAGGGAGUGGGGCGUCUGUUCAAGUUGGACAUCUGAUCUGUUAGAAGAAGAACCAACCUGAGCCGCCGGAAAAAUCUGCUCUUUUUUUCUUGCUAAUGGUAAAAUUAUACUUGCAGUUUCGACCCUUUUUGAGUUAUGAAGACAAGUUGAAGCAUACUACUGUUGUGGUUCUCUCUACUCUUUGUAGUGAUUAGUGUAAUUAAUGUAAUCUGAUCCAGAAAAAAGGUCAUUAAACAACUAAAUUCUCUUAUUAGGUUGACUGAAGUGUAUAUGGCUAGUCAGUAUUUGGGUAUUGUAAUAAUCUAUUAGCUUAGUAUGUGUAAUUUAUUUUUCUGGUUGCAACCCAACCAUGCACACAAUAUCGAAAUGUGUAACGAUCACUCCAUAGUAAUACUCUAAUUAUUUAGACAAUUUUAUGGAGAAAUGUAAUUAUUUUGUGGAGCAGGAAUUUUUUACUGACUUCAUUGGAGAAAUGUAUUUAUUUUGGAUGAAGUGGGCUACUCAGUAUUCACGGAUUGUUUGUUCUUGUUCAUCUUAAUGAUUUAGACAAUUUUAUUUGUAAAAGUAUGUUAAUGUGGGACAAAUAUAUUCUGCGUAAACAAGUUCUCUUUAUUUCAUGAAA
rnacentral:lncRNA from 1 species